GUACUAGUAAGGAAUCAAACUUGGCGGGACGACGUAACGACUGUUCCGGGACCCAAUGCCGGUAUUUCGAUAUGAUAGAAAAGUAUUCAGCGAAUCUAUUGAGGUUCUGCGCAUUUGAAAUGGUCAAUAGUGCUUGAAGAAUCGAAAUAUCAGUAUGGUGACGCAUAGAACUAGUACCUUGCCAAAGGUCUUGGAGAAUCAAGUUGUCGUCAUGAUCGUAGCAAUAGUAUAGAUCUAAACGACCUAUGAAAGCGAAGAUUUCUCCCUCUAAAGUCCGGCUGUUCUUAAUUUCCUAUUAAUAGGACCCUUCGACAUGCUAGCUAUCCCUGACGAGGAGGAAAAAGACCAUCAUCAAAUCACUUGCCGAAAGUCGAGUCUGCGAAACAACCGAGG
rnacentral:sRNA from 2 species